UACGAAGGGGGCUAGCGUUGCUCGGAAUUACUGGGCGUAAAGGGUGCGUAGGCGGGUCUUUAAGUCAGGGGUGAAAUCCUGGAGCUCAACUCCAGAACUGCCUUUGAUACUGAAGAUCUUGAGUUCGGGAGAGGUGAGUGGAACUGCGAGUGUAGAGGUGAAAUUCGUAGAUAUUCGCAAGAACACCAGUGGCGAAGGCGGCUCACUGGCCCGAUACUGACGCUGAGGCACGAAAGCGUGGGGAGCAAACAGG
rnacentral:rRNA from 1 species